CUCACUGGACCCGUUUCAGGUACUCCUGGGGCGUCCGAGGUGGCACAGAGGGGUCGAAGUCUUCCGCCAAGUCGCAGGGUUCCACAGGAAAAAGCAAAGAGGAUUAUCUAUUUACAAGACUAACUGCAAUAUACAAUGGCUAUUGAACUAACAAUGAAAUCCAUGCAAUAUAUGGGAAAACAUAUGGUUCACAGGAAAAAGAAAAAAAAUGGUCAGAAUGGAGCACUUGUUUUCCCAAGCAAUAGUGAUGAAUUAUUUUUCAAAAGAGCCACUUCAAGAAAAUGACCUCGAGGGGCCAUGCUCCCCUCUCUUCUUUCUCUUGGGAAUUAAUCCACACAGUUUUGGAACUCUGCUCUGAGACUGAACUGUACUGAUGAUUAGAAUACUCCAUUUCCCGUGUAAGGUACCAUCCCUUUCAUAUAUGAACAAUUUGGCUGCUAAAAGGGGCAGAAAAUGAACAUUUGUGUAAGGACUAUAGGUAAAAUCCACUUGUGAAGAAACAAAUUUCUUCUGGACAAAAUGCUGAGAGAUAAUAGACUGUUCUGAUCCUGGGAUAAAGAACUGCCCUGCAGAAGAAUGUACUCUGAAAGGACAUGUUUAAAGGCAGUGAUGACUUGAAAUAUGAUAGCUUUGGGGCAUUUGGUCCAUCAGCUCAUUUGUAUGUGACUUUUUAGAGUUUUGAAGUUUAAAGCUGACAAAAUUACAAAUCAAGUGACUGUUUGGGGACUAUAGAAGGAGUUUUGACUUCAUGCCUGACAUAAAAUUGUUUCUUGAGUUUUAAAAACUGUGACUGACC